UACGUAGGGUGCAAGCGUUGUCCGGAAUUAUUGGGCGUAAAGAGCUUGUAGGCGGUUUGUCGCGUCUGCUGUGAAAUUUCGGGGCUCAACCCCGAACUUGCAGUGGGUACGGGCAGACUAGAGUGUGGUAGGGGAGACUGGAAUUCCUGGUGUAGCGGUGAAAUGCGCAGAUAUCAGGAGGAACACCGGAGGCGAAGGCGGCUCACUGGGGCUUUUCUGACGCUGAGGAACGAAAGCCAGGGGAGCGAACGGG
rnacentral:rRNA from 1 species